CCUACGGGAGGCAGCAGUGGGGAAUAUUGGACAAUGGGGGAAACCCUGAUCCAGCAAUGCCGCGUGAGUGAUGAAGGCCUUAGGGUCGUAAAGCUCUUUUACCAGGGAUGAUAAUGACAGUACCUGGAGAAUAAGCUCCGGCUAACUCCGUGCCAGCAGCCGCGGUAAUACGGAGGGAGCUAGCGUUGUUCGGAAUUACUGGGCGUAAAGCGUGCGUAGGCGGUUAUUCAAGUCAGAGGUGAAAGCCCGGGGCUCAACCCCGGAACGGCCUUUGAAACUAGAUAACUAGAAUCUUGGAGAGGUCAGUGGAAUUCCGAGUGUAGAGGUGAAAUUCGUAGAUAUUCGGAAGAACACCAGUGGCGAAGGCGACUGACUGGACAAGUAUUGACGCUGAGGUACGAAAGCGUGGGGAGCAAACAGGAUUAGAUACCCUGGUAGUCCACGCCGUAAACGAUGAUAACUAGCUGUCCGGACACUUGGUGUUUGGGUGGCGCAGCUAACGCAUUAAGUUAUCCGCCUGGGGAGUACGGUCGCAAGAUUAAAACUUAANAGAGUAGUACGCGNGNGAAGUAGUCGACGACGACGACGAGGAGGAGGAG
rnacentral:rRNA from 1 species